ACUGUGAGAACUCUGGCCUUCCACCCAGAGCAGCAAUGCCAUGUUCCGUUUGUAUUUGCUGCCUAUGAAGCUGCAGCGAAGCAGCUAGGGGACAUCACAGUUUGCAGCUUACCUGAACCAUCAGCACCCCAGGUCAGGGCACUGUGGAGAACUCUGUAGAUUGAGUGUAACGUCCCCCACCCCAUCCCCGGAGUGAGAGUAACAGACAGACCAACAGCUCUGCUUAGGUGAAGAAGAGAGCAUUCUGCCAUUUUGUCACAAAAAGCCAGGAUAUUACUAGAGCCAGUCACCAAGCUCUUCCGUUUGGUACUUCCAUUGAGCUUUUGGGGCUUCUCUACACACUUUCCAUCUGAGUCAUUUAUUCCAAAGUGGCUACUCCAAGGAGGGAAGACCAGGUCAGAGGGUCACAAGACCUGGUAGACUCGUGGGGGAAGAGACAGGGAUAGCAAAGAGAUAGGUAAGCCGAGUCCUAACAGUUAUCCUUCUAAAGGAGUACAGGGAUACCAGCCACGGUGAGCGAAACCUAAGGGAAUUAGCUAGAAAGACACCCAUCUGUGCAGCCAUACACUGAUUCUAUAAAGGCAUCCAUAGCCCCCUUGAUCAAGUUCUCUUGGCAAAUAGUAGUGGGAGACCAGGGAAGAAAGCUUAGUUGGCAGAGUGCUUGCAAGUGCACAGGAAGCCUGGGAUUUGAUCCUCAGCCACCAGGAGAAAGAGGCAAGAGUCAGACCCUCAACUGAAUCCUCAGCUACAUACUUUGUUCCUUCAGCGCCAGCCUGUGCUACAGGAGGGAGACCUGUCACCACAAAAUAAAAAGGCUUGGUCUCCUAAGCGCGAGGUAAUUGAGAGUAACACCCGGAGGAGACACUGGGAACUCCAGCCCAUAUGUCUCUCUGCUUCUAAGAUGUGCAACUCCCCUGGCUGGUAGGACUGCCAGGUCAACAGGGACAGCCACACAUAAGUACUUGGAGCCUCAGUAGCAGAUGCUAGCUGAAGGUAUCAGACAGAGACAGCACCUUGGCCUCCUGUGUGCUGUAAGCCGGGUCCUGUUGUUGUUUCAGAGCACAGACUCCUUUGUUUCCCUGCUUUCUUCCUCACCUGGAUCCACUGCUGGCGUUCUCGGCUCUCAUCUCUCUCUUCCGCCCCAGUAAAGUGUGAGAUGUGGAAAAGAAACUCAAGAUGCCACCAACUUCACAUGUACUGACUGGAAGCAUACAGACACCUAACUUCAAGAGAACCAAGGGCACAAAGCCACAGAGCAGCCUGGGAUCCACUGGACACACAGCAAGGCAAUGAACAGAUAUGUAAUUACCAUCCACUGCCUUCUUGAUGAACCUGAGUGCACGUUUGUCCUGGGACACCUUGAGAAGUUUCAGAGCACAAAUUCCAGAUCAAGACCCGCAGGAAUUUGGUGUGCUGGGUGAGGCGCCCCUGGCACUGGCUCUGUUAUGGCUUGCUGCCUAUGUCACCUCAUGGUCUUUGAUGAAGCCAAUGGCCAUGGAGCAGAGCAUGGCCUCCCUGACAGAAAGACUACAGGCUAAUAUCAACCCCAUGAUUCUGAAGUCCUCAAAACCAAUGUGAACUUAGUUAAGUAUUAAAUCUGGUAACUUAAAAAAAGAG